CAGCCCCCUCGCUCGUCUUCCUCCUCGCGCCAGCGCCGCCACCGCCACCGCCGGUUGGUCUCCCCUUCGAUUCUCUCGCUCCCGACCGUUUCUCCUCCAGUCACCCCACGAAACGGAUUCCGCCCUUUAGCUCCCCGUUUCAUCUCCUUAGUUCCCGUGGUACGCUCGGCAAACCAACUAGAUCCGCUGCUCGCGUUCACACCGGAUUCUUGUGUUUCAGAAGGGAUGGGGAAGAAGCUGAAGACCAAAGCCAAGAAAGCGCAGCAGCGGGAACCGCUGGCCGCUGCUGGAUCCGGCGAUGCGGGGUUGCAGGAAGCGAGUAACUCAACAGAGGAAGCGGCUGUGUCAGCCAGCGACUGGCAGCAGUGCGGCCACUACGGGCGUGACAGUCCCCACUUGGACAAGGUCCUCCGGGAGAUCAUGUCUUCCAAGCAUCUCGCUUCGUGCGAGCAUUGCCGAGAGGAUGCCCCACGGAAGAAAGGCGGUAAGCAACAGAAGAAGAAAGGAGGUGGAGGUGCUGCCAAGGCGCAGGCAAAGGUCGAGAAGAGUGAUAUGUGGAUCUGCUUGGACUGCGGUCGGCAUUUCUGUGGUGGUGCGGUGUCUGAGACCAAGCCAUACGGCCAUGCCAGAAGGCAUGCCAAGCAAGACAGGCAUUGGUGGGCUGCACGGUAUGAUGAACCAACUGUUGCAUAUUGCUUGUCAUGUGAAAAUAAGGUGUCUAUCGAGAUGCCUAUAGUAGAUACAGUUGUGCCAGCUCCAGCUGAUGAUAAGGUGUUUGGUGCAGUAGAUAGCAAUGCACUAGUUUUGGCUAAUUGCCAUGGUAAUGUGAUUAGAGGGCUGCCAAAUCUUGGAAACACAUGCUUCUUCAAUGCGGUGCUCCAGAGCCUCCUCGCACUUGAUAGGUUGCGCAGCAAGAUGUCAGGACCAGAUGUUCCAGCAGGAGCCCUUGCAAUGUUACUGAAGAAGCUCUUUUUGGAAACCAGUGCUUCAAAUGAUGCAGGAGGUGCACUUAGCGUGAAGAGCCUCUUCUCAAGUAUUUGCUCAAAGUAUCCGCAGUUUAGAGGCUACCAGAUGCAGGACAGCCAUGAGUUACUCCGUUGUUUUCUUGAUGGUUUGCGCACGGAGGAAACUGAAGCACGGAAGCUACUGGAGGAUGCUUCCAAUUCAGGGGCUCCUACAAUUGUUGAUUCCAUCUUUGGGGGUCAGCUGUCUAGUACUGUGUCCAGCACAGAGUGCACACACGGGUCUGUUAAACAUGACCAAUUCCUUGAUCUAUCACUACCUGUUCCAUCAAGGAGGCCUCCAGCCAAGAGUGUUUCAUCACCACCAGCCAAGAGAACCAAGCAGUCUAUACGAGAUAGGAACAAAAAUCGCAGAUAUGGGAAGAUAACUACCACCAGAAUAUCUCCUACAAUAGUGGAGAAUAGCAAAGAAAAAGCUGAAACAGUUGCUGAAUGCAAUGAUUCUCAGAUUCUGGGUUCAGAACUGGGACAGAUUGUCAGUGAGAAAGAGCCUGAGCCCUCUGAGGGCAGUGAGUCAUGCGCUUCUGUUCCCAAACAAGAACUGAAUGCUGCUUCAUAUGUGGAGGAUGACAUUUCCUGGUUAGAUUUUGUUGCUGAUGCAGAUGAAACAAAGUCUGAGAUUCUUGAUUCUGUGUGUUCUACUGAAGCAGGACAGAUCUGGGACAGGAAUGGUGAGAUGCAUGGUUCAUAUGACACUCGAGAUGAUACUUUGCCCAAAGAGAAGGUCAUGAGUUCCGAGCACUCAUGUGAGAACAUCGUUGAUGAUGCAGCUUGUUCACAGCCUGUUAUCUUGCUUCCUUACAAAGAAUUUUGUACAACGGCCGACGAAAUUUGUGAAACUGUAAGAAGCUCACAGUGUCCAAAAGAUGUUGGUCCUGCUCCAGACAUUUCUCCAGUAACAGAAAAUAAUACACAUCCUGUAUCUGGUGGAAAUGGAGAACAAGAUGACUAUAUUGGUCUUGGUGAUAUGUUUAAUGAGCCUGAAGUAACUUCUGAAGCUAAGAAAGAAACUACAGCUGGAGUUAUUGAUGUCAUGGCUUGGAGUAGCAACAGUGCUGAUGAUGAGGUGGAUGAUAGUAAUGCUCUCGUAUCAGUUGAGGGCUGCUUAGCUUUGUAUACUGAGCCAGAACUGCUAUCUGAGUUGUGGCAUUGUGAGCACUGUUCUAGCGCUGUUGCACGCCCAAAUACCAACGAAGGAAAAGAGGGUGACGAGAUGGUGGCUAGUGCUAGUGACAGAAAGGACAGUGAGAAAAUGAUGGCAAGUGGCGAUGCAAGACAAGGUGGUGAUAAGGUUACCGCAAACUGCAGCAAAAAGGAGGAUAUUGGUCAGAUUAUGACAACUGAUGGUUGCUCUGACAAUGUAGACCCUGACUUGUGCUGUAACAAAUGGGAGUGUGCAAAUCCUGAUGCUGAAAACACCUCUAAUGGUAAUUCUCCAGACACUAGAAAUGGUACUUUACUGAAUACAGUGUUUACUGUUGAUGCGAUUGAACAGCCAGACAGUAAACAUGAUGGGCAUACCGUGGAUAUAGCUGCUGAAGAAGCAAGUGCACCAGUGAGUUGUGGUGAUAAUGACCCUGCCUCUUCCAGUACUACUAUAGACAGAAUGGUUGAGUCUGGUGCCAAUGCUGAAGAAGUUGUGACUAGUAGCCUUCCAUCGCAGACACAAACCAUCUUACCGAGUGUCAAAGAUAAUGAAGAUGUCAUCACGAGGAAUAUGGGCAGGGGGAAGCGAAUGAAGAUGGCUGGCAGGGCACACAAAGGGCAAGAUAACCAAAAUAAACAGAAAGAGGAUGAAACAAAAGUUUUCAGAGCUGCAAUGAGAAGAAUUCUUAUCAGCAAGGCACCACCUGUAUUGACGAUUACUUUGAACAGAUUCAGCCAAGACCCCCAUGGCCGGUUCAAGAAAUUGAAAGGGCAUGUGUGCUUUAAGGAGAUGCUCGAUGUACGGUCAUUCAUAGACCCAAGAUCUAAGGAGAGUGACAACACCACUUAUCGGCUAGUUGCUGUUGUCGAGCACAUGGGAACCAUGACAGGAGGGCAUUAUGUUGCAUAUGUAAGAUCUGGCAAGAUAGGGGGUCGGCAGCAGCAGAGCCGCGCCUCCAAGUCUUGGUUUUAUGCAAGCGAUGCACAAGUCAGAGAAGCCUCUCUGGAGGAGGUUCUUAACUGUGAGGCUUACAUUCUUUUUUACGAAAGGGUGGCUGAGUAAGAUAAUUUGUCUGGUGCCUACUCAUGGAUCAGGGAGCAAUUAGGACAAGAUUUAUGGCAAGCAGACGGUGAGAAACAACAAUUUGUUUGGACAGAGAGUGGCUCUCAGUUGAAGAGAAUUUUGCAAGUGGGCUUGAACAGCUAUUCUGUUCAUACUGCCCACAGUCAUUUUUUGGGGUUAUUUUGAGAGCAUAUAUGGAGGUGCUUCAUACAGAUCUUGACAAGGGCUUCGUUCAGUGUCGUCAGUUGUUAUUGCUCUGCUAACGAAUCAUGAACGGCAGGCUAAGGAGAAGCCUGGUGCAAACCACAGUCACACCAUAAGAGGCUUUUGGUGGUUGCCCGUUUGUUAUCUCAGAUGGCUGAACUAGUCAUGAAGGAAGCAGUGUAUCCUUUCUUUUGUUCCCUUUUUUCUGUUGUCUUCUUAUGCACAGAAAUAAGUCAAGGUGUACUCCAGAUUUAUCAAUCCAGUAUGAGACUGUUGGACUUGUUAGUCAAGGUUCACAAUUUAGUCACUCGAAACGGAGAUAAUUUGUGUGGAACAGAACCUGUGGCAACAAUGACGGGCCCUUGAUAUACAUCUUUGGAGGAGGCACUGGAUAGAGGGAAAUGCUAUACCUUAAACAAUACCCACUUACAUGUGGGGUAUCAUUCCUUCUGGCCCAUAAAUCAGUGAGUGCCAAUAGCCCCUAGCUAGUCUCUGACAGAAGAUUCUAAAGCAUCACUGCACUGCUAGUACUAAUUAUAUUUUUGAGCAACGACUACCACCAUCUGACACGAGGGCAUGCAAUAGUGGGAUCCUUGCAACCAUUAGAUUACCAAGUCCAAAGGUACUUGCAUCUAACCUGCAGUUCCAAACUCUAUAGUGGUAAAGAUUGUUAGAGCAUACCUCCAGUUGCCUAUCCAGAAGUUCUGAUGACACUUAUGUAACAUCUCCAUGUCUCUUACGGCAGAUGACAUUUGACAAAACACUUACGACUGCAUUUGAGAUAUGUAAUUUAACGGUGGACUAGUAGUGUUUAGCAUGAUAUUUUGGUAUCACAUCCGUCCCGAAAUAAGUAACGUGGAUUUGUAUAUAAUGGUCACUUGUUUCUGGACGGAUAGAAAUUCUAAUGCUGCAUUUGUGACAGA